rnacentral:misc_RNA from 1 species
GGGGUAUCGGAGGGUUCAGGUACGCCAAGUCUCUCAACGGAAGGGCGCGUGAGUGGCAAUCGGGCAGUUGGUGCUGUCUGGCUCCGUGAUCAUGGUCAUCGAACUUUCAGGCCACAACCCUCCUCAUGUUCGCCGUGGGUCAUUUCGUCCGCGGCGUUCAAUUAUGGUUCUUGUGUUGGCUACCCGUCAAGUGGUAUUCAUGUGCCUCUUUUGACCCGUUCCGUCCAGACCCCUUGUAGGGUCGCUGGAGGAUUCGAAAGUGACCCGUGUGAUGUGUUAGCUGUGCAUUGCGCAAUGGCUUGCUUCCUCACACGUGUCUAGUGUUCCCUCGAAUGCGGUGCAUGCGGCAAACGUGGGCUGGCAAGUCUGCCCCGUUAAGUCCCUUCAAUUUAUCGGUUCCCUUGAAUGACACUUUGCCGUUGUGUCGGGCUUGCUUAACCAUUCGUGGUGGCAACACUUGCACGUCAAGCAAAGUCGUUAAUG